CUGGCGACCGGCGCACGGGUGAGUAACACGUAUCCAACCUGCCGAUAACUCGGGGAUAGCCUUUCGAAAGAAAGAUUAAUACCCGAUGGCAUAAUUAGACCGCAUGGUCUUAUUAUUAAAGAAUUUCGGUUGUCGAUGGGGAUGCGUUCCAUUAGGCAGUUGGUGAGGUAACGGCUCACCAAACCUUCGAUGGAUAGGGGUUCUGAGAGGAAGGUCCCCCACAUUGGAACUGAGACACGGUCCAA
rnacentral:rRNA from 1 species